UACAUGGGGUGCAAACGUUGCUCGGAAUCAUUGGGCGUAAAGAGCGUGUAGGCGGCCAGGUAGGUCUGGUGUGAAAACUCGAGGCUUAACCUCGAGAUGUCAUCGGAAACCAUCUGGCUAGAGUCCGGAAGAGGAGAGUGGAAUUCCUGGUGUAGCGGUGAAAUGCGCAGAUAUCAGGAAGAACACCAAUGGCGAAAGCAGCUCUCUGGGACGGUACUGACGCUGAGACGCGAAAGCGUGGGGAGCGAACAGG
rnacentral:rRNA from 1 species